rnacentral:rRNA from 1 species
GUUGAACGCUGGCGGCGUGCCUAAUACAUGCAAGUCGAACGCAGUGGGGACGGGUGAGUAACACAUGGGUAACCUCCCAUCAGAGGGGAUAACACUUGGAAACAGGUGCUAAACCGAUACUGGAGGAUGGCCCAGCGGUGCAUUAGCUAGUUGGGUCGGUAGCGGCUUACCAAGGCCAGGAUGGCUAGCCGACCUGAGAGGGUUGUCGGUCACCCGGGGACGGAGACACGGCCCAGACUCCUACGGGAGGCAGCAGUAGGGAAUCUUCGGCAAUGGACGAAAGUCUAACCGAGCAACGCCGCGUGAGUUAAGAAGGUUUUCGGAUCGGAAAACUCUGUUGUUAGAGAAGCGGUAUCUAACCAGAAAGCCACGGCUAACUACGUGCCAGCAGCCGCGGUAAUUC